UUCUUACUGAAUAAUAAUUGUAAGUAUCGUCUGCUCAAUGAAUUUUUCAAUAGCCGCGGAAAUUUUACCGUGCUAAGGUAGCAUAAUCAUUAGCCCCUUAAUUAGGGGCUCGUAUGAAUGGCGGAACAUUUCAAUUUCUUUAUUUAUUAAAAAUAUCUAAAUUAAAUUAAGAAUAAAAAUGUUCUUAUUAAUUAAAUAGACGACAAGACCCUUUUGAACUUUACUUUUGUUUAGCUGGGGCAGCUAAAAAAAAUUUUUCUUCUUUAUAAUAAUUAUAUAAAUGACCCAAUAAAAUUGAUUAUAUGAACAAGUUACCAUAGGGAUAACAGCGUAAUAUCUUUUUAAAGCUCUUAUUAAAAAAGAUGAUUGCGACCUCGAUGUUGAAUUAGUAUAGCUUAUUAGAUGCAGUAAUUUUUAAAAGUAGGUCUGUUCGACCAUUAAAAUACUACAU
rnacentral:rRNA from 1 species